GGGUGGGGACAAAUAAGGGAAUAUAUGCUGGCCACCUCAGCCAGGGGUAGCAACCCACUGGGGUCUCCUUCCGCUGUGUGGAAGGGUUGUUUUUCUGCUCUUCGCAAUAAAUCUUGCGGCUGCUCAUUCUUUGGGUUGCCGCUGCCUUUUAUGAGUUGUAGCACUCACCGCGAAGGUCUGCAGCUUCACUCCUGAAGCCAGCUAGAGCCAGCGAGACCACGAACCCACUGGGAGGGAUGAACAACUCCGGACACGCCACCUUUAUGAACUGUUAACACUCACAGCGAAGGUCUGCAGCUUCACUCCUGAAGCCAGCGAGACCACAAACCCACUGGGAGGAAUGCACAACUCCGGACGCCCUGCCUUUAAAAGCUGUAACGGUCACUGCGAAGGUCUGCGGCUUCACUCCUGAAGUCAGCGAAACCACGAACCCACCUGAAGGAAGAAACUCCGGACACGUCCGAACACCAGAAGGAACAAACUCUGGACACACCAUCUUUAACUGUAACACUCACCACGAGGGCCGCAGCUUCAUUCUUGAAGUCAGCGAGACCAAGAACCCACCAAUUCCGAACACGCAAGUAUUCGUAACGUUCUUCUGUUCCAAGAACAAUGGUCUUCUUACUUCCUUGAUGGCUCACAACAUGCUCCUUUCUACUGCAGGAACACUGUAUAACUUCUAUCAAGCAUGAACUCCCCACCUCUGUUUGACAUACUUCUCUACUUUCAGAACUCAGCUGAACUAUCGCUUCUCAAGGGAGCAUUCAAACUUCCUGAACAGAACCACCUUAGAUAUUGCUGGCCAGCUCAUAAAUUGUGGCUUGUGGUCCAGCUAAUCUUUCCUAGUCUAUUCAGCUAUGGCCAGAGAAGAUGUGCUUAACUUGUGGAGCCUUACUGUUUCUCUAAGCUAGGUAGGUCAGUAAAUCCUCUCCUACACCAUAGUUAUUUGCUUUAAGCCAACUUGAAGUGAACUUCUGUCUCUUCUUUAAUCUGAGAAUCUUACGUCUUCAAGCCCUGUUCACACCGCUUGUCCCAGUAGAAUAAACUUUAUUUAAGUUAGAUAUCUAGCAGAUUACCAAGGAGGAGAAGGAUCAGCAUCAAUAUCUUGUAUUUCAUAAGGCUCUAACAUUUCAAGCAUCAUCUCAUAAGUUCACUAACCCUGGUUUCAGUUUGCAUAUUUGUUGAAAAAACAAGAGAAGUUCGUUCAACAGCAUUAAAAUUCAUCCCUGCUAACAUUCGACAAACUUUUUUUGGGAAUUAAUCAACUGCAGUGGCUCCUGAAUAAAACACUCACAAUAUAAUAUUUUAAGCCACAGCUAGCUAUUAACACUCUGAAAGAUGAACUGCAUACAUGUUUCACGAAGAUUUAUAUGAAGGACUGAUCUGAAAUAUAUAAGAGAUGCUGAUAGAGAAUUCACCUGGCUUUUAAAUGAGGCAAUACUCUCCCAGAAUUUAUUUAUUACCAAUGUCUUUCAAUUGUGAAAGAUGGUGUAAGAACUUGGAACCCACAAGCAUCUGGAUAGAAAUAUGAAGAUGGCUUGACCUUGCAGGUGAUGAGUUAUUUGCCGCUGCUCCCGGGUAUUAUUCCACCUGCUUUGGGUAAACAGCAUGAUAUUGCCAACAGGGGGAGCUACAGACAGAAGAUGGAUGAAGCCGAUUUUGUUUACGAGUGUAAUUUAGCUGAACUGACAAUAUAUUAUACCUUAAUAGUCCCUCAGAGUGAAUUUAAUUGAUGACCCAACUUAGAUAUUCUCUUAGAGUAUCUUUGUACUGGAUUGGAUGCAAGCUGGGUGCUUAUGUUUGCUUCCCUGUUGUUAAUAGAGUUACUGCCAUCUGGAGAAGAUAUCUGCUAAUAUGUUACGGGAGUUUUUUCCAUUGUUGCUGCUUCUGUGAAGAACUCAGAAAGGUUCUGAUAAGCCAAGAGAAAAGACAAAAGUAAUGCUUUUCUCAGCGAGAUCUAAGAACGUUUAGUAGAUUGACAGAGAUCAUUAACACUUUAAAUGUAGUUUUACUUCCAUUUUCAGUCAGGUGAAGUGAAAGUAAAAGUUUAUACUGGAUAGCAAAAUUAAAUAAUGUUUUUAGCGUUGAGACUGCCUAUUAUACACUUACACACACACUUACACACAUAUCCAUGAGAGAAAAUAUUUAUAAAAAGAAAAUUACAACUAAGAAAUCUUGUUUGAUAAUACUACUUUAAAAGCUAAGGCACAUGAAAGAGAAUUAGAUCUCUGUCAUUAAGAUUGUCCAUAAAAAUGCUUGUUUCUCAUACAUAAGACAGUGGGAAAAAAGGUUAGGACUAAUCAAUUUUUAUCUUCUUAUGAAUAUAGUAGAGAGCUUAGGCAUGUAAUAUUAUGAAACUUUACAAUACUGAUUUAAAAUGUGCUAUAAGCACACUGGCCCCCACAGCCCUGCUAAGUUUACUAUAGACAUCAGGUCUUUUUUUUUAAUAUGAUAUUUGUUAAUUAAUUAAUUUAUUUAUUCACCAAACAUUGUUUAUUAAGCAUAUUGUAUGUGUUUAGCAUAAACUUAGGGGCAAGAAAAUUAAUGACUAAGAAAUUUCCCCUGUCUUCAAAGUGUGCAUAGUUUAAUAAAAAGAGACAGCUAUUUUAAAUAUGUGACUGUAGUAAAAUUACAGAUGUCAAUUUAAAAAUAUGCAUAAGACAACGCACAAAAGAGGCAGUUCUACUGCUAAUUUUGUGGUGGAUGGACAGUUUUACCACAUUGAUCUUCGUUGACCAGAAAAGGUCAGCUGUGAUCAGUCUGUAAUCUGUUCAAUAGAAGACUUAUACGAGGCAUGUAUCAUUUUGAGACUCUGUGAUUGUUGUUUAGAAUACAAAAACAAAAGGUCAUGUCUUUGAAGAAUUUACAGAGCUUAAAAGAAUUUAAAUACCUUAGCAUAUUUCCCAGGCCCUUGUUGGGCACUGCUUGUCUGGAUGAUCCACUAGUAUCUCAAAGUCAAUGUAUGCUACACUAAAUCUUUCUUUCUAAAUCUUUUCCUACACUUAUGACUCCAUCAUAUUUCUAGUCUCUAAAACUUAAAGACUCAGAGUCUCUGUCUUCAUCUCACUGAUUACUCACAUGCAGCCACUUCCUGCUCUUUUAUUUCUGUUACCAUUGCACAGUUCAGGUGCUUUUGUAAGACCACCCAAAAUAAUCAGCAUCACUAGUCUCUUUCCUUUCCCAUUCCAAUUUAUAUUAAAACCACUUACUAAAAAGUUUUAAGACACACUGCUUCUAACUUAAUAUUCCCUUUUAGUCUUAAAUGAUUUUAAUGAUUACACUACAUAUUUAGAAAAAAAUAAUAAACAGGAAACCUUAAAUUGCUAUAUAAGGCCCUUUACACUCAGGACCUAGUCAAUUUUUUCAAUCUGUAUUUUAUUAUUUCUGAAUAUCAUUCAGCAUUCCAUUUAAAUGGAAUUAUGUAGUAUUUCCCAUACCUGUCCUGCAGUUUCCUGAUUCCCUGCUUUAUUUUCUCUUAUAAUUCAAUCUAGACUGUAUUUUUCUAUACAGAAAUCUCAUUCCCCUUGUUAGAUCGAAAAUGCUAUUUAUCGGAUGUGUGAGAUUUUCUUCAAUAUAGUCCCAUGAAAGGCUUCUGUGAAAUUUCGUAAUAUUUUAUGCACACUUGAAACAGAAGUGAUCAUUUGGGGUUCCUUGUGGUGUAGUACAGAAAGCAUUAGAUUUAAAAUUAGACCUGUGAAUUUCAAUUGUCCCUGUCACUAUUGUUUCUGAGACUUUAGCUAAAUCAUAUAUACUGCUAAUUUUGUGGUGGAUGAACAUUUUUACCACAUUGAUCUUUGUUGACCAGAAAAGGUCAGCUGUGAUCAGUCUAUAAUCUAUUCAAUAAAAGACAUAUUUAUUGUCACCUCAGAAGUAAUAAUAUAUAUCAAUAAUAAUAAUAUUACUCAUUGAGAGUUAGAGAAAGUAAGUGCCAAUACAUUUUGUAAAAUGUUAAACUGAAAUGAGAGAUAGAUAUGGGUUUUAAUCUUUGGUUUUCAUCUGAUUCAUGAAACAAGAUUAUUUUGGGUUUUAUUUUUCUAUUACCAUUGAGGCUACAUAAUAGUCACUUUAAGUUUAAAACAAGCAUAAAGGUAAAUGUGAAGAAGUGGGUUUAUAUUUAAUAAGCACAAGAGAUAUUUGUCAAUUGAAUAAAUAAAUGACUGAAUGAGUAGAUGAACUUCAGCAAGACAUAUUACAUCUUUCCUAAAUAGUGUCAGGUUGCAUAUAAAAAUCAGCAUCUACAUAUAUUCUGAAUUCAAUUGAGAAUAACAUGUGAUUCAGGAGUUAACAGUAUUUCCCUGAUGCUCAAAAUCAGCAUUAAUGAGAUUUAAUAUGAAAACAAACGAACAAAACUUUGGUUUAGGUUAAGAAAGCAAAAUUAGUUUUAUGAUCUCGACAGUUCUCAUAACGAAGAUCAAACACAUU